AACGCAUAUUGCACUCUCUGGUAUUCCGGAGAGUACACCUGUUUCAGUAUCAAAAAAUGACAUCUAAAUUUGGUUCGUUUGUUAGUCAGACGGGUCGAAUUUUGGGAUUUGGGCUUUGCAGAACUUUUGCUGGCUUUAAAUAAUUUAGCCACAUUAUGAAAAUCUUUUAGGUGAUAAGGCGUAAUAGUUGGUACUUUCGCUGAAGCCUGUCUUUUUUUUCUGAAAUUUUGGCUCAAUAAUAUGGAAAAAUGAAAUAUAUAUUUCACCAUGAUUUAGAUCUGAAAUCAGGUGGGACUACCCGCUGAACUUAA
rnacentral:misc_RNA from 1 species